rfam:Canis lupus familiaris chromosome 4, whole genome shotgun sequence.
UCCCAGCUGGCUCAGUCAGUGGAGCAUGUGACUCUUGAUCUUGGGGUUGUGAGUUUGAGCCCCAUGUUGGGUA